UGGCGACAAGUGAAUAAAUUCGUGUACAGUAUAGGGCGCUUCCCUAGUAAAAAUUAAAUUACAUCUAGGCAUAUAUUUACUUCAAUGUUAAAAAAAAAAUUACAAUCAAAUUGGUGGUGAUGGGCUAUCUUUAAAGAAACAAAAAUUAAUUAUUCCAGCUAAUAUUUUUGAUUUUUAAAUAAUUCAAAAAAAUAAAUACAGUAUACAUAAAA